AGAGUUUGAUCCUGGCUCAGAAUAAACGCUGGCGGCGUGCCUAACACAUGCAAGUCGAGCGAGAAAGCUCCUUCGGGAGUUAGUAAAGCGGCGAACGGGUGAGUAAGACGUGAGAAUUUACCCUUUAGUGAAGAAUACCCUCGAGAAAUCGAGGUUAAUACUGCAUAAGUCCCUACGGGGAGAAAGGUGGCCUCUUUGCUACCGCUGAAGGAUAAGCUUGCGUGCUAUCAGCUAGUUGGUGAGGUAAUAGCUCACCAAGGCUAUGACGGCUAACCGGCCUGAGAGGGUGUUCGGUCACACUGGAACUUAGACACGGUCCAGACUCCUACGGGAGGCAGCAGUGAGGAAUCUUGCGCAAUGGGCGAAAGCCUGACGCAGCGACGCCGCGUGGAGGAUGAAGGUCUUCGGAUUGUAAACUUCUGUUAAGUGGGAAGAAAGGUUUGUCUCUAAUAAAGGCAAAAUAUGACUUACCAUAGAGAAGC
rnacentral:rRNA from 1 species